UGCAGUCGAGCGAACAGAUAAGGAGCUUGCUCCUUUGACGUUAGCGGCGGACGGGUGAGUAACACGUGGGUAACCUACCUAUAAGACUGGGAUAACUUCGGGAAACCGGAGCUAAUACCGGAUAACAUUUGGAACCGCAUGGUUCUAAAGUGAAAGAUGGUUUUGCUAUCACUUAUAGAUGGACCCGCGCCGUAUUAGCUAGUUGGUAAGGUAACGGCUUACCAAGGCRACGAUACGUAGCCGACCUGAGAGGGUGAUCGGCCACACUGGAACUGAGACACGGUCCAGACUCCUACGGGAGGCAGCAGUAGGGAAUCUUCCGCAAUGGGCGAAAGCCUGACGGAGCAACGCCGCGUGAGUGAUGAAGGGUUUCGGCUCGUAAAACUCUGUUAUUAGGGAAGAACAAACGUGUAAGUAACUGUGCACGUCUUGACGGUACCUAAUCAGAAAGCCACGGCUAACUACGUGCCAGCAGCCGCGGUAAUACGUAGGUGGCAAGCGUUAUCCGGAAUUAUUGGGCGUAAAGCGCGCGUAGGCGGUUUCUUAAGUCUGAUGUGAAAGCCCACGGCUCAACCGUGGAGGGUCAUUGGAAACUGGGAAACUUGAGUGCAGAAGAGGAAAGUGGAAUUCCAUGUGUAGCGGUGAAAUGCGCAGAGAUAUGGAGGAACACCAGUGGCGAAGGCGACUUUCUGGUCUGUAACUGACGCUGAUGUGCGAAAGCGUGGGGAUCAAACAGGAUUAGAUACCCUGGUAGUCCACGCCGUAAACGAUGAGUGCU
rnacentral:rRNA from 1 species